GCAAAAAGAACCCGUAACUUCAGGAAAAGGAUUGGCUCUGAAGGUUCGGCCUAGGGGUUUGCACCCUCAACUCGUGGGUUGUAGGCAAUCUGCCCAAGCUGCUCUCGAUGCGAGGGCGAGCAGUCGCAUGCUGAUUGGGCUAUGGGCAUAGAAUGCCCCCUACCGGGGGCUUUUCCCUAAGCGGCGAACAAUCGACUCAAAAUUGGUACAGAAAAGGGGAAUCUGACUGUUUAAUUAAAACAAAGCAUUGCGAUGGUCCCUAUGGAUGCUGAGGCAAUGUGAUUUCUACCCAGUGCUCUGAAUGUCAAAGUAAAGAAAUUCAACCAAGCGAGGGUAAACGACAGGAGUAACUAUGACUCUCUUAAGGUAGCCAAAUGCCUCGCCAUCUAAUUAGUGACAUGCAUGAAUGGAUUAAUGAGAUUCCCAUUGUCUCUAUCUACUAUCUAGUGAAACCACAUCCAAGGGAAUGGGCUUGGUAGAAUUAGCGGGGAAAGAAGACCUUGUUGAGCUUGACUCUAGUCCGACUUUGUGAAAUGACUUGAGAGGUGUAGAAUAAGUGGGAGCCGAUUUCGGCCCAAGUGAAAGACCACUACUUUUAACGUUAUUUUACUUAUCCCGUGGGGCAUAGACGAGGCACUCCCCCUAUUUUUGGCCUUAAGGCACGUUUCAACAGGUCGAUCCAAGUGGAAGACAUUGUCAGGUGGGGAGUUUGGUUGGGGUGGCACAUCUGUUAAAAGAUAACGCAAGUGUCCUAAGAUGAGCUCAACGAGAACAGAAAUCUCAUCUGGAACAAAAGGGUAAAAGCUCAUUUGAUUUUGAUUUUCAAUACGAAUACAAACAGUGAAAGCAUGGCCUAUCGAUCCUUUAGAUUUUCGGAGUUUGAGGCUAGAGGUGUCAAAAAAGUUACCACAUGGAUAAUUGGCUUGUGGCAGCCAAGCGUUCAUAGCGACGUUGCUUUUUUAUCCUUCAAUGCCUUCUCUUCCUAUCGUUUUGAAGCAAAAUUCACCAAGUGUUGGAUUGUUCACCCACAAUAGGGAACGUGAGCUGGGUUUAGAACAUCGUGAGAUAGGUUAGUUUUACCCUACUAAUGAACCGCAUUGCAAUAGUAAUUCAACUUAGUACCAGAGGAAUCGUUGAUUCACACAAUUGGUCAUCGCGCUUGGUUGAAAAGCUAGUGGCGUGAACCUACCAUGUGUCGGAUUAUGACUCAACACCUCUAAGUCAGAAUCCACGCCAAAAGCGGUGCAUGUCACUCUUCGACUGUAUCUCGACCCACAAUAGGGACGCCACUUUGUCGCCCCUAGGGGCCCGUGUCAUUUGCAAACCACGAUCAUGAAGCAUCUUGGUUGGGGCAGCUUUGAAGUCAAUUCCAAACGAUCGUUAAGAAGAAUCCUUUGCAGACGGGGUAUCAUAAGUGGCAGAGUGGCCUUGCUGCCACGAUCCACUGAGAUUAGCCCCUUGGUCGCCCUGAUUCAAAGCUUAGCUCUUGU
rnacentral:rRNA from 1 species